UACGUAGGAUGCAAGCGUUGUCCGGAUUUACUGGGCGUAAAGAGCGCGCAGGCGGUCGAUCAAGUCGAGUGUGAAAGCCCCCGGCUCAACUGGGGAGGGUCAUUCGAUACUGAUCGACUCGAAGGCAGGAGAGGGUAGUGGAAUUCCCGGUGUAGUGGUGAAAUGCGUAGAUAUCAUUUGGAACGCCAACGGUGAAAACAGGUAGCUGGGAGUGUGCUGACGCUGAGACACGAAAGCCAGGGGAGCAAACGGG
rnacentral:rRNA from 1 species